CCUACGGGAGGCAGCAGUGAGGAAUAUUGGUCAAUGGGCGAGAGCCUGAACCAGCCAAGUCGCGUGAAGGAUGACGGCCCUACGGGUUGUAAACUUCUUUUGUCAGGGAGCAAUUGGGUCCACGCGUGGGCUUAGCGAGAGUACCUGAAGAAAAAGCAUCGGCUAACUCCGUGCCAGCAGCCGCGGUAAUACGGAGGAUGCGAGCGUUAUCCGGAUUUAUUGGGUUUAAAGGGUGCGUAGGCGGAAUAUCAAGUCAGCGGUAAAAAUUCGGGGCUCAACCCCGUCGUGCCGUUGAAACUGAUGUUCUUGAGUGGGCGAGAAGUAUGCAGAAUGCGUGGUGUAGCGGUGAAAUGCAUAGAUAUCACGCAGAACUCCGAUUGCGAAGGCAGCAUACCGGCGCCCGACUGACGCUGAGGCACGAAAGCGUGGGGAUCGAACAGGAUUAGAUACCCCGGUAGUC
rnacentral:rRNA from 1 species